UACGGAGGGUGCGAGCGUUGUCCGGAAUCACUGGGCGUAAAGGGCGCGUAGGUGGCUUGGCAAGCGUGUGGUGAAAGCCCGGGGCUCAACCCCGGGUCUGCCGUGCGAACUGCUAUGGCUUGAGCACUGUAGAGGCAGAUGGAAUUCCCGGUGUAGCGGUGGAAUGCGUAGAGAUCGGGAAGAACAUCAGUGGCGAAGGCGGUCUGCUGGGCCGUUGCUGACGCUGAGGCGCGACAGCGUGGGGAGCAAACAGG
rnacentral:rRNA from 1 species